rnacentral:tRNA from 1 species
GCUUUUAUAAUUUAAAAAAAAAUAUUGAUCUUGUAAAUCAAAUUUUAGGCCACCCUAUUAAAGCU